UACAGAGGUGGCAAGCGUUGUUCGGAAUUACUGGGCGUAAAGGGCGCGUAGGCGGCCAUCUAAGUCAGACGUGAAAUCCCCCGGCUUAACCUGGGAACUGCGUCUGAUACUGGAAGGCUUGAGUAUGGGAGAGGGAUGUAGAAUUCCAGGUGUAGCGGUGAAAUGCGUAGAUAUCUGGAGGAAUACCGGUGGCGAAGGCGGCAUCCUGGACCAUUACUGACACUGAUGAGCGAAAGCCAGGGGAGCAAACGGG
rnacentral:rRNA from 1 species